rnacentral:pre_miRNA from 1 species
UUGAGAGGGGGAAGGGGGGGGGGGGUGAAUUAAGAAAAAGCAUAACGGUUACAAGUAAUUUCAUUGUUUCCAAAGUGAUAACAUCAUUUUGCAAUUAUAUAUAAUUGCAAAAUGAUGCUAUCACUUUGGAAACAAUGAAAUUACUUGUAACCGUUAUGCUUUUUCUUAAUUUAGCCCCCCCCCCCCCUCCUUCCCCCUCUCG